rfam:Streptococcus sp. DD13 genomic scaffold scaffold00004, whole genome shotgun sequence.
UGAGUGUUAUGAUGAUGGAGCAUCUCGCUCUUAGUCUAGCUCUGGUCUACCGCCGAUUUUUUUCGGCGG